AAAAAAAAACCAAAGCCUAUCGAUCCCCUCGAAGACACAGCGCUGCCCUCGUGCGAUCUCAGAGGUCACAGGCGCCGCCUCCCCUCUAUCGCCAACUCCGACGUACGAUCUUGCCACCGCCGACCUCCUAGAGAAGACGUCGCCCGCGGACGUCCGGGAUCGCCACCGCGGACUUAAGGGAUCAACGUCGUCGACCUCCCAGAGGAGACGCCGCCGCCGCCGACCUCUGAGGGGAGACGCCGCCGCCACCGCCGCUAAACCCUAGGCAUCCACCACCGUGCUCCCGCCGUCGGGUUCCGCCUGCGUUCGCUACCAUGCGAUCGCCUUCCUCCCUCAGCUCCUUUUCUCUACGCUCUGUCAGGCUGCAACAGCCUAACUUUCUAUUUUCUAUCUGGGCUCCACUUUCAGUAGUAGGAUGCUCAAUUGCAACCCAAGGUGUAUAUGCCCCUACUUCCCCAAGAUGUGUGCUGCUGUGAGGCAUGUAGCACCACUUCUCCUGACUGCUAUAAUCAGUGGAAGAUCUCAUGACAUGAUAGGCGUCAUGGUCUCAUGGAAUGGACAUCAUGGGGCUUAUUAGGAACUCUGAGUUCAGCGGGCACCAUGCCGAAAGGUGAAGCAACUUUUGGUAUUUUGUUAUAGCACGAUUUGUUCUUCUAUUUCCUAAACUUGAUCGCUCACUUGCUUUCUUUCACAUGGUAAAGAGGUCAAUCUCUUCCAAUACACAAUCGCUGAGGUAUAUAUCAAUGUCUAAAGGUUAAAAAAGACCCAGGUUAUACCAUAUGGUUUAGGUUGCUCACCUUGGUGGCUGACUAGGCGUUCAAAAAUCUUAGUGAGAGUAUAAAGGACAUUGUUGAUGGUGCAAUAAUGGAACACAAAAAGUUGUGUGUGUGUGUGUGUGUGUCGCACGACCUGGGAGUCUACAUCUAAGAGUUCCUUUCAGUUUUCUAUCAGAAACAUUUCUUUAUAAAAGUUCUGUUGGACACUUAUCUUCUCUUUACUUAUCGUUUUGUGGGACUACGAAAAAGUUCAUCUGUGUGUAACUACAGGGUUCUCGAAGUCCGCCCUCUCAUUGACAGGGUGAAAGUUGUGGAAUUUUUGCUUUAACUGCCCGGAGUAAGAUGACAGGACAUACAAAGAUGCAUUCAAGGUAAGCUCCAGUGAGAUUAGGUGUUCAUAAGACAAUUCUUUCAAGUUGCAACCUACAUUGUGCUGUCUCCGUUCAUCAAGUUAUGAGCACCAGCUCUAGUGAAAUUAGAUGUUCAUCCAGCCAUACUCCUAGGUGGAUUUCUUUGGUGUGCUUAUUAUUGUGUAGUUAGUGGUUAUGCACAUGCCUCAUCAUCUGAUAUUUCUGCAGUAGUUACUGAAAGCAAUCUGAGGACAAAGCUUUGAUUGUUGUUGUAGUUGAAGAUUCAGAGUUGCAAGGCAGGCACAGUUAACAGGGAUAAGAAACUAUCGAAGAUUUAUCAAACCAGAUAUAUGGGCUUGGUUAUGCACUGAAUCAUUGUGGAGGACCUCGGGUAAUUAGGCCAUACAAGAAAAUUAAAUUUUACUUGCUUUUAAAUGUUUAGGGGGUAGAUGAUGUUUCAUAUGCUAGAUUGAAGUACGCACCUUUUAAGAGUAUCACGGAUACUCCAGUCACCCAUAAAAAUGGAAGUACUGAAAAUUAGUUUGCAAGGAAAAUAACUAAAUAGUGAGUCCGAGCAAACCUACUGCCUAGAUUACAUGAGAUCAUUUUAGCUCUAAGAGUUUCUUUUAUCUUUUUUUACAUUCUGGUAAACAUGUGGGUGAAUAACUGUUAGAAAUUGUUCUGUAUGUACACGUGCAUUCUACUAGAACUGAUGCUGGAAAGAAUAAAAAGUUCUAUAAUAUUUGUAAGCCAAGCUGUGGAAAAGCUCACUCCUCACAGUAGAUUACCAUCGUCUACGUAUCUGCUUUGUCGAAACAGAGUCCACAGGUUUACUCAUGUCAUCUGUUUUUUGUUGUUUGAGGGAAGGUUUGUUAGGAGCCCAUCUCUUCUGCAGCAAGCCCUGCAGAAAGAGAGCUAGAUAUAAUGGUACUUGCUAGCCUUUUAAUGGACACUUCCUUUUGGCCUUUUUUAGUUUCUCUAAUUAGGUAAGAUACUUCAAUGAGUGAGAAUUUUUUGUUCCCUCCCUUUUUCAUUGUCUUUUGAGUUUUGCUUUUUGGUGAGAGGAGGAUAGAGAUACACAAUUGCCGUGGGGAUCAGAGAUUAGGUGAGGUCACAUUGUUUGUCUCGGCUUUACAGUGUGAGCUAAAGGAAGAAAAUAAAGUAAUGUCAGAAUAUUACAAUCAUAUAUCUAGACAUAUCUCUACUCCUAAUGGAGCAGUUGGAAAAUAAAAGCCGGGAGAAGUAUGUCCCCUCCGUCCUCCUCCCGCGACGCGCGUCACGGGAGCAACCCUUGCGCCGCCGCCGCCGGGACCCCCUCCUCCUCCCCUUCUCCCCUCCCAUGCCGCCGCCUACGAGCAAGGUCGAGCGAAGCCCGGUCGGCUCCGGCGGUGUGUGUGUGGGGGGGGUCUUCCCUUCACCGUGUGGCCGCGUGUGGCGCAGGCUGGCGUGGCCGGCGAAUGCGCCAUGCGAGUAGGGGGCAUGACGACGUGGCCUCUGAGUGUGGGGCGGCGACGCCUGGCUAGGUGCUCAUACGAGUGGCUCUACGGCGGGGGGUGGCUGCGAUGUUGCCGGCGGCUGCGUUUGUGCGCGCCCAGAUCUGGCAGCGGCUGCGCCGGCGCGUUGCGCUGGCUCAGCUGUGGCCUGGGUGGCUCGACACGCGCGGGAGCUCGGCGGGCGGCGGCUUGGGUCGCCGCUGCAUCUCGUCAUCCGGCUGUGUGGUCACUAGUGGUGGAUAGCGGCCGCUGGUGAGAUUCAUCUUGUCCAGCCACGGCGCAGGUCUGAGUGCGGCUCCAAUCCAGCCCCUGCUGAGCUUGCACAUGUCGCGACAUAGGGCUGGGACCUUUCCCAGUGAUGGCCACAGUUAAGGGAUGGAUCCGACGCAGGGAGGGCCACGGAACCAUCCUUGCCUCCUGUCAGGUGGCGCACUGGGAGCUCGUCCUUGCACGGCCUGGCAGGGCGGGGCGGUGGCGGCCAAGUGCGGCUGGCCCGGGGGUGGGCCUCGGACCUAGGGACAGUCCAAGGGCAGGGAAGGUGGUGCCUUCCCGCCCGUCUCUUUGCCUCUCAUGGCUGCAAGCUUUGGUAGGGGAUGAUGUCGGGACCAUGGGUGUUGGGGCGGCGGCCCUGGAGGUGGGAGGCGUGGGCUCAUGGGCGGAGCUCACGCCUCGGGUGUGAGCUAGCUGCCGUGACCGUGCGGGGGGUGUGGUGGUCAGGGUGCGACAACCGGAGGGGUAGGUCCGGCGGGCCUGGUUUGUUGUGCCUUGCCUCGGGGGCUGUGAGGACUUCCCGGGGUGAAAACCUGCUUUGGCUCUGCCAAGCUAACGGCGACGUCGCCUAUGGGCGGUGCCUCCUUCUUGAAGGCGUCGUCGCGGCUCCUAUACAUGCUCCGAUUGCUCCGAAGGAAACCUUGAUCUUGGGAUCGGGCGGUGGUGAUACUCCUGUGUCGUGCCCUUCUUGAAGGCACCGCCUUGGAGUGUUCGGCUUGUCGUGCACAGCUCUCUCUCUCUCUUCACGGUGACUCGCUCACGGUUGAGGUCUUCGAAGACUACCAGUGGUGCUAUCCCUGCCUACAUGUAGUUGCUUGGAGUGGAUGGGGGUGAUCUAGCAAUUCAUAUACACCCUUGUAUCUUGCCUUGUGUGUGUGUUGUUGGGUGAGUUGUAUGUGUUGGUUUGUAUGGUGAUCGUUGCUUUAUGUAUAAAGCGGGGCACGAGCCUUUUUCGGUAAUGAAGCAUUUGGUUGUCUCCGUUCCGGGUUUUUUCGUCCCACCUCCCACCUUCGUCUGGUUUUAGGUUGAAUUCUUGUUCUCUAGAUCCACCUUCACCGACAGCACGCGUUGGUCUGUGACCUCCCACCAGCAGCGCCUUGAGGUCACCCACAAAAGCGACCAAGCAAUUCCACGUUGUCACCCUCUACUACUUCGCCAACUACAUCGAGGAGGUCGUGGGUGAGAGCUACUGUCCUCCUUGGAGAACAUGCUCGUGCCCCAUGCGUACAAAGAAGAGCUAAGACACUCGCAUGGGUGCUCAAGGAAAUACACCAGAUUGAGCGAGAGUGUUACACAAUUUAUCAACAAGAGCAAAGACUCUAAUCUGAUGAUGUAGACAGCUUUAAUGUGACAGAGGAUCAUGGUGGUCGAUGGAUUGUGCACCCGGUAGUGGACUAAGAAAGGAACAUUAUUUAUGGAACACAAUGAUAUUCAGAGCAGCCCUGCACUAUGUGAGAUUUAGAAGUUGGUACUGCCGGCGGAUGCAUCCAUCUGCUAAUCUCCUGGCACCGCGUAGACGGAGCCAAACGAGUUGGGGCCUCCAGCCGGCUGGUAGUGGACAACAACACCGGGUUUGUUAAUUACUCAACAAGUCACAGAUUGAUCUCUUUUUUGAUUGGUUUGGUGUGGAUUAUUAGGCCUGCCGCGCAAUCAUAGAUUUAUCUUUUGCUUUAUGUGGGUGGACAGAAACACCCUUUCUAAAGUUUUGUAGGUAUUGUAAUGAAGCACAGUAACACACUCCAGCAUUCAUUCUUUGCUUGAUAUUAGCAAACAAUGUAAAAUAACCAAGCUCACAACAUUCUAAAGCGGUCUAUUAGCUACUUCAGCAGACAACAGACAGAAAGAAGUAAGCAGUAUUUGAUUUGCUCAUACCCGUGGAGGCAUCGAAUUCUGCCCAAAGUUUGUCGCAGCACUAGUGGUCAGCGGCGAGGAUGAGCACCCACACCCGCUCCUUGUUGCCGGCCUCUGCAUCCUCCUCCCACGAAGCGGGUCUAUGCGGGGAGUUGAUCUAGAAUAUGCUAUUGUUAGAUAUAACAAAUAUGUGACAAGAAAUAAACAAGAACUAUGUAGUACAAUAUAUGUGUCACACAGUAUACUUUGAAAAUGUGUAAUUUGAGAUUCUGAUAUAGAUGUGGGCCUGUAACACACCUUGAACAUGCACUAAAAAUUGUUGUUUACAGUCUGAUUUCUAAACCUGAUGAAAA